rnacentral:lncRNA from 1 species
AAUCUCUGACCCAGUCUCCCUAUCAGUGUACCACCCUCCUAGCUAAUGGUACAAUAACAACAACAGCCAACUUUUCUCCAUCCAAUGGCCCAACAUCCAUAAAUCAGCAGCCCACCAAACAAUAUCCCAUCACCUCAGCCCAAAGACCUGACCCAGCCUACAACCCCUUCUCUCUUUCCCUUAUACACAAACAACGUAACAACAACAUACACGCCCAGACAACUGACCAAGAACUAACGACGUUCAAACCACUGCGUACAAAAAUAAUUCCCAUGCGUACAACCUCCAUCCCAGCAGUUUCAACCCCUAAACGAUGUUCAACGGUAAAAUCAAUUUAACAGCAAAAUCCUAAAUCAUCCAUUUUUACCAUUUUAUCCAUUUAGUACAUCCAUCCACGGCCAAAAACCAAAAAACUUUCAUCUUUCUUUUGUUUGGACUCACUAUUUAGGGCAAAGAAGUACCCCCUACAUCUCUUCUGUACCACUCUCAUUGUAAAAAAUUCAGUUGAAGUACAAGACCAUUCAUGGUUUUUCGUCCUGCUGUGGACCUGAAUUUUCCAAGUUAUUCAAUUCAAAAUUGAAAUCCAAAACCCUAGCUAUUUCCCCCCAAUUUCCCCUAAAAAUAUAUGCUAAGAAGAAGGGGGUGAAGAGGGGAUUCUUUGGGGAAAACUUGGGGAUUCGGGAGGAGCGUUCCCCUAAUCCCUCAUAACAAAAGAAUUCAAGAAGAAGUUCCAUCGAGAAUCAAUCCCGACAAAAGGUUGAAAUCUCGGCAAAUUGGAAUUAAAACUCGAUCGAAACAACAUACAUUUCGGUUGAAUUCCGUUGCCUAAAGUUCGUUUGUCUUGGUUCCUGCGUGGAAACAGGUGAAGGCUUCACUUUUUGCAUCCUUUAUUUGUGUUUAUUUGUUAUAACAAAAUUUGAGUUCCACAAUCGUGAGGCUUGUUGAUUCGUUGAUGUUGGAAGUUAUUUGGUUGAUUUAGUGUGGCGUUGCUGUUGAAAAUUUGAAUUCGAUUUCACGGACAUUGAUUGUGUUUUCUUUUUGCUUUCGGUGUGAUUUGAAUACAUAAAGAAUUUCAUUAUUUUUUGUUCUUAUUUCUGAGGUAGAAACUAACCCCUAUAAAAAAUCUAUUAUUUUGAUUUGUUGAACAUACAAUACAUGAAUGUUUUGUGAAACUUGUGUGUAAAAGUCUCGACCGUUUUCUUCUUGGCCUCCCGAAACAUGUAGCUGAGCGGUUUUCAAUUGUUAUUGUUUGGUUUAGUAUUUGAAUUAUUGUUGUAGUUUUACGCAUGUGUAGAGUUUAGUAUUAUGGGAUAAAUUAGUAGUUUGGAUGAUUGGUGUUGUGAUUUGCAUAAUCUGUAAAAAGGAGCUUAAGGCCAAGAUUAGUUUCCUUGGGGCUGUAGGUCACUAUGCCUAAAAAUUUUAUUUUUUCUUAGUAUGCCUUUCUUUAAAUAGUUUACUCAGGCAAGUUAUCAUAUGAGGAGAGUAAAGCUUUGUCAUUUUCUUUCUUUCUUUUUCAUUUUGAACUAUUGCUCGUCUCUUCUCUUUUGUUUCCUUAUGGCCUUUAAUUGUGAAAUCAAGACCAAUGUCUAGGUCUGGAUUAAGGAUCAAUACAACAGCCUUUGCGAAUCUUGAAUGCUAAGUAUGAUUUGACUAUGAAAAUGUGCUUGAAGUUGGUCAAGUAAUGCAUAAAUUUAUUUUCUCUCUUAAUUGCUUUUGCCGUUACAUUCUACUUAAAUAGAUCCAUCAUUGAAAGGUGCUACAACUUUGUUCAAAUUUGUAACUCGUUCUUUUCAAUAUCUUGCUUUAUCUGAUGAGUUCUUCUCAGGACCUAAAUACUAAUGUUUCAUCUUUGUUUUUGCAUGUGACACCCCAAUGUGUCCAAACGGACUUUCCUCUUGCAUAUCAUUGAGUUAAACUGCAUGCCAAAGUAAAGUUACCAAAGGACAAGAAAUAAGGCUGAACCGAGGAGGUGAAGUUGGGAUAUCGGUGCAGGACCAAAACACAUGCAUAUAUGACUAAUAUAUGGUCAUAUAUACAUUAGAUAUACAAAAAACGCAUGAAAAGUGGUUCUGAUAUACAGCUAGAAUACAUGCAGGGACAUGGACUCAAAGUCCACAAAAUUAGUAGCCCAAAGUUUGGGCAGCAUGUGGAUGGGCUAAAAAAGGGCCUAACUCAAGCUCUUUAUCUUUUAUUCCCUUAUAAUUUGUAAUUUAUUCUUAUAUAUUUGUACUGAUCUUAACUUUUAAUUAAUUGACCUAGUGAUCCCCUUAUAGAUGUGGCCAUUCUAGUUUACCUUGAUUUUUAUAUUUUAAUUCACCAUUUUCUCACCUAAUUUAUCUCGUCU